AAGCCUUGGGGCGUUGCCGUCGCAGGGGUUGCGGGACCGCCCGCACGGGGAGCCCAAGCUCCCCGACCGAGUUACAAACCGCGCAUGCAGCGGAACGGCCUGGGAAGGCCGGCGGAACAGGGUGAGAGCCCCGUACGCGUAGCAUGGGCGGCUCGGAAGGCGGCUCCCGAGUAGCGCCGGGCACGUGAAACCCGGUGCGAAGCAGGGGGGACCACCCUCCAACGCUGAACACUCUCCCGCGACCGAUAGCGAACCAGUACCGUGAGGGAAAGGUGAAAAGCACCCCGAGAGGGGAGUGAAACAGCGCCUGAAACCGUGCGCCCGCAAGCAGUCGGAGCACCCAUGCGGUGUGACGGCGUGCCUUUUGUAGAAUGAGCCAGCGAGUCGCGGCAUGCGGCGAGGUUAAGCUUGGAAGCGAGCCGCAGCGAAAGCGAGCCUUUAAGACGGCGAGUGAGUCGCAUGCCGCGGACGCGAAGCCGGGUGAGCUAUCCUUGGGCAGGCUGAAGCGGGGGUAAGACCCCGUGGAGGGCCGAACCCACUUCGGUUGAAAACGGAGGGGAUGACCCGAGGAUAGGGGUGAAAGGCCAAUCAAACCCGGAGAUAUCUCGUUCUCCCCGAAAUAGCUUUAGGGCUAGCCCCGGCCGUUCUCCGAUGGCGGUAGAGCACUGGAUCGUCGAGGGGGCCUCACCGCCUACCGACGCGAACCAAACUCCGAAUGCC
rnacentral:rRNA from 1 species